GCCACUCGCCGCCGGGAUUCGGGCCGUCGGACGGGCUCGUGCUGCCUCCUCCCCCUCCCACUGAUAACUGCCCCAACGGCUCUUCCGGCCCUAGUCGUGGAAAAAAUGUCCCGCUUCUGUGCUCCAGGGCUCGGAAGGGGCCCCCUCCGCGUGAGCCCCUCCCUGGGAUAUUGAACAUAAUCACCUCUCAUUCUGGACUGGACCGGGUCUCAGUGGUGGGAGGAUUCGUGGGUGCCCCGCCCCUUUCACUCGGAGGGGGCGGGGCAGCGGGCCGUGACGCCAUCAGCGGGCGCCGGAGGAGGGACCGUACGCGAAUGAGAGAUGGAGUCGGUGUUGGCUCUGGGCGGCCUGGUGCUGCUGCGGGACUCCGUGGAGUGGGAGGGGCGCAGUCUCUUGAAGGCGCUUAUCAAGAAAGCUGCACUGUGUGGGGAGCAGGUCCACAUCCUGGGCUGCGAAGUGAGCGAGGACGAGUUCCGUGAAGGUUUUGACUCCAGUAUCAACAGCCGGUAAGUUGGGAGAGAGUGCGUUGGAUGUGGGGUCUCUAAGGAAAUUGGCCUGCAGCAGCAAGCGCACAACCUGGUGUGUGGUAGCCGCUACUCGGAUAUUCAGUGAACGGAUGUGGGUCUUUCCGGAGGCGAAAAUUCGUAAGAGAUGAGCAGUGGUGAGUAUCUGGAGAAUCCCAAGCACAGACCGUAGAAGUUGAGAGAGAGAGCAUGAUAAAAGGCCGAUGGUGUAGUUAGCAGCAGCAGCAGCAUCAAAUAUUUCCCGAGUGGUGCCUAAUGCGUGUCAUUCCCUGGAAGGAUGGAGAAGAGGACAUGACACGUGGUUCCUGCUGGUUGAACAGCUUAGAGAAGAUCAAGAAUCCGAGAAUCAAGUCACAUGGCACUAACUGUUGUUAAAAUAGUACAGGCAAGGGAGUCUGGCAAGGGUUAGAAGUCCUGGGAUAGGAUUCAGUUGUU